CCGCUCCUUAUGAAGUGGAUGGGAGUUUAGUCACUGACUUCACGGGGAAUAGCAGCAGGUUUGUAGAAGAAAACGUGGUCUAUUCAGCAACAGAGUGAAUUACAAUGAGGACACAAAUAACAAAACUAAUUUUCAUUUUGAGGGGCCCUCCACACCUGCAGAUCAAGGGGAAGGAUUUGUGUCUACUAUCCUGGCAUAUUCAAGUUCCACUUCUGCAGAGAAGGGAGAAUGAGAAAGGGACAGAAAGAAGUCGAGUUGGUCAUGAAGAGAGUAGAGGCCUGGGCCUCUAACCUAUAGAGUCCAUGGAUCCAUGCCAAACCCUGUUAUCCCAAAGCUUCCGGCUGGAUUGUCUUCCCUCAUUGAUGAUCCAAGGUGUCCACAACCAGCAGAGCUUUCUAAGAGACUUACUACCACGUUCAACUCACCCUUCUCUAGCUGCCCAGCAAAAGCCAUAGAAAACAUCCUAUACUUACAGCAACACUGAUUUCCAGCAUAACCUUCCUGAGCCAAGAUCACACACAACUAGAGCAAAUACAGUGUGAGCCAAAGGCUUAGUGGAACAGGUGAGCGCCAUUGCUCACCCUACGUUCCUCCAUCCAGUCCAUCUCACCUGCCUCCUCUCUGCAAUUUUUACCGGAGCAAUGGCUCUUACUGUCCUCAGUCAGACAAAAUAUCUGGGUAGCAAACAAAAACAACAAAUACAAAUACAACACAAUCGUUGAAUUUUCAUUGUGAUUUCUCCUUUUACUUUAAUUAACUCUAGGCUUGCAAGCUUUAGGCUUGCUAGGCAACUCUACUGAAAAUUAUCCUAUGCUGAUUGAAGGUCCCAGGCCUGAAACCUUUUCUCACAGGAUUAGUUCUGACUUUCACAACUGAUCCCAUUGACUUCAAUAUGAGCGUAUAUGACAUGUCAAUAUGAGUGUAUUCUCAAAAUUUGGAUUUAUCAUUCUGAAAUUUUCCACAUUAUUGACUGAUUGAUUAAUAUUUGAAAAACCUUCUUUCCCCCAAGUGGGAAGCAAAGAUAAUAAAGGAUUAUCAGUUAAUGAAUUAUUUUUACUCCAACAUUUUUGUCUAGUAUUUUAAAUAUAAGCCCGCGUU